AGAGUUUGAUCCUGGCUCAGGAUAAACGCUGGCGGCGUGCUUCAGGCAUGCAAGUCGAACGGGCGUCUACCUUUCGGGGUAGCCGCUAGUGGCGGACGGGUGAGUAACACGUAAGUAACCUGCCCAGAAGUGGGGAAUAACCCACCGAAAGGUGAGCUAAUACCGCAUGUGAUGGUUUUCCCUCGGGAGGACUAUUAAAGGUGUAAGCCGCUUCUGGAGGGGCUUGCGGCCGAUUAGCUAGUUGGUGGGGUAACGGCCUACCAAGGCGACGAUCGGUAGCUGGUCUGAGAGGACGGACAGCCACACGGGGACUGAGAUACGGCCCCGACUCCUACGGGAGGCAGCAGCUAGGAAUCUUGGGAAUGGGCGAAAGCCUGACCCAGCAACGCCGCGUGGGCGAUGAAGGCCUUCGGGUCGUAAAGCCCUUUUGCGAGGGACGAUGAUGACGGUACCUCGCGAAUAAGCCACGGCUAACUACGUGCCAGCAGCCGCGGUAAUACGUAGGUGGCGAGCGUUGUCCGGAUUUACUGGGCGUAAAGGGCGUGCAGGCGGUCUGCUAAGUCUAGGGUGAAAGCUCCCGGCUCAACUGGGAGAGGUCCUUGGAUACUGGCGGACUUGAGGGAUGCAGAGGAAAGUGGAAUUCCCGGUGUAGUGGUGAUAUGCGUAGAUAUCGGGAGGAACACCAGUGGCGAAGGCGGCUUUCUGGGCAUUACCUGACGCUGAGACGCGAAAGCGUGGGGAGCGAACCGGAUUAGAUACCCGGGUAGUCCACGCUGUAAACGAUGGACACUAGGUGUAGGGGGUAUCGACCCCCUCUGUGCCGCAGCUAACGCAAUAAGUGUCCCGCCUGGGGAGUACGGCCGCAAGGCUAAAACUCAAAGGAAUUGACGG
rnacentral:rRNA from 1 species